CCGAGCUGCGCCCCCUCAUCCGUCACCCCAAGAACAAGACAUACCUUGCACACCAUCAGCUUCUGCACCUACGGGGAGUGUGUUCCUCUGGAAUUGGAACGGGGAU